ACGACAACGACGACACCAUGCUGCUGAAGGAGUAACAUGCUGGAUUAUUGGUAAGCCACAGCCACUUGACAAUACAUAGAUUAAUAGAAAAGGGUUAAUAAGUAAGACAAAACUAGCCAAAUAAGAAGUCCUAGCCAUUGAUCAACAGUUUAUAAAUUAAUAUAAGUCUUGUGUGUAUAUCUGGGCCUAAAUGGCUGUGGGACCAGGCUGGAAUGAAACUCCAGCAAUACUUUGGCAUCCCCAAUAAUGAAUUUAUUUUUGAUGCUACUUCAAAACUGUAAUUUUGCUACCAAAUAGUGUCUCAGUUCCUUAGAACAUUUGAAAUACGUGUUUUCCAAUGGUUGUGACCCAUAGGUUGAGAACAACUGUGGCAAACAAACAAAGCAAUAAAAUGCUUCCUAAUGACAUUAUGCUACCUCAUGAAUCAGUUCAUCGCUCAACCUUUAGUAGAACUUCUUUUCCUUCAGUAAUGGUGAUUAACUAAAAGAAUCACAAGUGGACAAGAUGCAGAGAUUUUGAUUGAAUAACUCGCGUUUGGAACAAUAAGCCCCAAAGGAGAUGUUUUUUAGCAAACCCCUGUCUUCAAGUCUCAUUGUUCUAUGUAGAUGAGGUGGUAGAAAAAGUGUAAGAGCCAGAGGUUUUAGAUGACUCCAAAGAAACUGUCUUCCAAAUACUAUACAUUUGGUGCAUACAUAUAUGUACACAGAGACUGUGACAUCCUUGCAAAGACACAUAGACUUUCAAACCAGACAAAAUGUCAGCCUAAAGAUGGAGAAGCACACACAGAGUCCCACACCUAAGCAAGAAGCUAUUUGCAAUUGGUACCUUCUGUGAAAAGUAAAAUCAUGUUUAUGGAAUGAUGUGCCCUGGGUAUAUAUAUCAACCAUACCCUAGAGCAGGCCCCAUGCCCUGGAAGAAUUGGCCAACACAAAGCAGACUCCAUGUUUGUUUUUUAAAUAUAUACAUUUUUAUUUAAUUUAGAAACAAUCUUAUUUCACAUAUCAAUAUACCAAUUCUCUCUCCCCCCCCAUCUUGAAAUGUCCCCGAUGACACCCCAAUUGCACCUCCCCAUUCACUCUCCAGGGAGAGUGAGGCAUUCCAUCGGGGAAUCAUCAAUGUCUGUCACAUCAUUUGGGGCAUCCUUAUAGGGAAUUGGCUCCCAAAUUUCAUGCACUAAGGAUAAAUACUGGUUCCACUGCCAGAGGCCCCAUAGACUGCCCAGGCCUCCUAGCUGACACCCAUGUUCAGGGGGCCUGGUUCAGUCCACUGCUGGUUCCCCAGCUAUCAAACUGAGGUCCAUGAGAUUUAUGUUUUAUGCAUGCUGUUUCAUAUUUUUAAAUUUUUUUUCAUAAUUUGUUUUAUUUAUGAUUUUUUGGUGUUGUAUGUUUCUGAGUUGGGGAAAGAACAUGAAAUUGGGUAGGAAGUGGGGUAAGGGGAGGGAUCUGGGAGGUACUGAGGGGAGAAAUAGAAUAUCAUCAAAAUGUAGAGUAUGAAAAAUAAUUUUAGUAAAAAAUAAAAAUAGAAAAAUAACUCAGAAGAAAUCAUUUCCAUUUAGUUAGUUUUACAUGUUUAUAAUCCUUUUUAUUUUUAUAUUUUUAUUUACAUGUAUAUACUCUUUUAUUUUUAUAAUUUUGAUUACAUCUACAAAUGGAUCAAACAGCCCCCUUGUGUAAGCACAACUGUGUUUUUAUGUGAUUAAAUACAUUUUUAAAUUGAGAAAUAAAUUAUUCAUUAAAGUUAUUUUUGAGAGAAAAAUCAAGUUUCUUGGCUCAUGAACUGUUACAAUGCCAACAUAUACUUCAAGUUUAUUUAAACAUGUAAAAGCAAAAAGUGAAAAAAGCAAAAACGAGCUACAAGAAAAUAGAAGCAAAUUUUGUUUCAUUCAUUAUCAGGUCAAAAACUUUCACCUUCUUUCCAAAAUGUACAGAAUUUGUAAACAUAAAUGCCAAUAAGCUUGGCAAUAUAAAAUAAAGUAAUUUCGAUGCAAAUGUGUCCCAUAAGUAAGCUAUAAGGCAAUUUAGAAUCUGGGAACAUAUGGGCUACCAAUGUACCAAACACUGGGUUACUGUCUUAUGUAAAGAGGGCUUAAAAUAGAUGGGGGAAAAUGAUAUACCAAUAUAAAGAUCAUGAACAAAUCAUUCUCCAAACAUUCACUUCAUUAAUAAUAAAGGAGAUGAAAGCUAAGACAUCGUUUUAAUUUUACAAUGUGAAAUUCACUAAAAAUUGUAAACAUAAUUCUCAAUUUGACUGAAGAAAAACCCGAAUAGUCACUGUCCUGCACUCUUAUUGAGGGUGUUCUUGGUGGGAAAUUAAUCCCUUGAAAAGUAGGUUAAGAAGUUUAAUAGAUCCUCAAUUUGCCUGUUUUUUUGUUUUUGUUUUUGUUUUUGUUUUUGUUUUUGUUUUUGUUUUCCAAGACAGUUUCCCUGUGGCUUUGGAGGCUGUCCUGGAACUAAUUCUUUUAGACCAGGAUGGUCUCAAACUCACAGAGAUCCUCCUGCCUCUGCCUCCCGAGUGCUGGGAUUAAAGGCAUGCACCACCAAUGCCCAGCUACUUUGCAUUUUUUUUUCACUGUAGUUUUCUGCAAUAAAGUUAUCAGAUAGAAAUGCAUGUACUUGAGCUUUAUAUUUAAUAAAAUUCAACAAAAUAUUAUUUAGUUAUGUUAUUAUUUAAUCAUUUUAGAAUUUAUUUUGUGAUAUUUAAUAUUGAACCCCCUAUUUUGUGCACACUAGUGAAAUGCUCUGGUGUCAACCUAUAUUUCACCCAUAUCAGAUUUUAAUUUAGAAAAGAAAAUACUGACUUUAUACCCACAGGUUUGUGUAGUCCUCACCCCUCAUUGAAAGUGCUUCUCUGCAACAGAGUGAAACUAUUACAUGAAACCACAACAAACAAAACUGCAGUGUCGUGGAAUCCAGUCACAAAGGCAACAUCUACAAAACAACUGCUUCCACCUGUGGCUCCAGGAACACUUGGAAAGAGGUUUUGGGGACCGAGUUUCUCUGUAUUGGAUUGGAGCCUGCCUGGGAUCCCCUGCUGUAGACCAGGCUGGAUUUGAACUCACAGAGAUCUACCUGCCACUGCCUCCUGAGUGCUGGGAUUAAAGAACAUUUCUUUGAAGCUUUCAUCACUGAGCUCAUCCUUCAGAUUCAUACUCAGUAUGUUCAGGGGACUCGGCCAAGAUCUCUCUGCCCUUGCUGAUCCAGAUUCACAAUGUUCAAGCAAAGAUUGCUGCUCUCAGACAUGGUCCCAGACAAGAAGAAAAAUAACUCAUGUGGAUUUAGAAGAUGUUUGUUGGAGCAUAAGAAGAGAAACAAGAGUAGAAAAGAAAUAACUAUGAGGUGAUAACACUGUUCAGAAAAUUUAACACUGAUGACCAGGUGGUACAAAUAUUUAUGAUAAUAACCCCUGAAUUGUAUACUUUAAUGGGUGAAAUGUAUGAUAUGCCUUAUAUAUGAAAAUUUUUAAAUUAUGAAAGAGGAUAUAAAAUAUGCUUAUAAAAUAUACUACACAUACCAUAUUAUAAUAACAAAUUCCAUAAGGUCCCAAACAGCAUAAUUUUUCAAACUACACAUGAAUAGCUAAAGUAAAGCCACAUAUUACACAUUCUUAUGAUUGGAAAAGAAAACUGAAGCCAAAAUAAUAAUAAUGAAAUAAUUUAUAUAGUAUUGUACAAUAAGUAACUAGAUAAAAUUACAUAUUUUUUUCUUAAUUUAUGUAAAAUUUAAUAUCUAGGGUUGUCUCUAACUUAAGAUAUUUUCUACUUCGAACACUGCAUAAUUUGUUUACAUGAUAAUAUUAUUUUGUAGCUUUCAUUAGCUGAAAGUCACUUGGGUAUACUCAUUUGUUAAAAUUCAGUAGUUAUAUAUUUAUAACAUACGUGCUUUUACUCUGUAAAUGACUGUGCACAUAAAUAAAAUGAUUAAAAAGUG